ACGGGUGAGUAACGCGUGGGAACGUGCCUUCCGGUUCGGAAUAACCCUGGGAAACUAGGGCUAAUACCGGAUACGCCCUUAUGGGGAAAGGUUUACUGCCGGAAGAUCGGCCCGCGUCUGAUUAGCUAGUUGGUGGGGUAACGGCCUACCAAGGCGACGAUCAGUAGCUGGUCUGAGAGGAUGAUCAGCCACACUGGGACUGAGACACGGCCCAGACUCCUACGGGAGGCAGCAGUGGGGAAUAUUGGACAAUGGGCGCAAGCCUGAUCCAGCCAUGCCGCGUGAGUGAUGAAGGCCUUAGGGUUGUAAAGCUCUUUUAUCCGGGACGAUAAUGACGGUACCGGAGGAGUAAGCCCCGGCUAACUUCGUGCCAGCAGCCGCGGUAAUACGAAGGGGGCUAGCGUUGCUCGGAAUCACUGGGCGUAAAGGGCGCGUAGGCGGCGUUUUAAGUCGGGGGUGAAAGCCUGUGGCUCAACCACAGAAUGGCCUUCGAUACUGGGACGCUUGAGUAUGGUAGAGGUUGGUGGAACUGCGAGUGUAGAGGUGAAAUUCGUAGA
rnacentral:rRNA from 1 species